rnacentral:lncRNA from 1 species
ACAACGUGUUACUAUUUAGUAAGCGAAAUGUGCUCAAUCCAAGGCUUUCUUUCGCAAUUAAUAGCCAAGCAAACAUUGUUAGGAAAAUUGUCAGUAAUACUGUGAUGCGAAUCCAAAUGCUGGAUCAUCCGGUCGCGCAAUUUACCUUGCUUAUUUGUGACUGGCGUUGUGUUCAGUGAAGUUAUCAAUUUUUCAUCUCGUAAACGAGUUGAAUAAUCGAUUUUGUGGAAAUGGGCUGCUCAUACUUAGGCCUGUUUGCAAUAGUGUGCCUGGUACUGGGUUUCUUGAUAACAACAGAUGCACAAGGCAGCGAAGGGUAUCAACGUAAACCCACCAAGUUUAAGAACCCAGAUUGUGGAACAGAACAAUCGUUUACUGCAUGUGGGAGAGCCAGACGGGGCUGGCUACAAGGUUUACCAGAAUGCUGUCCAGGUUAUAGGUGCGUAAAUGUACUUCUAAAGUCCAGAUAUACCCAGUCGGGUUACCGAAUAGUACCGAAGUGCCGCCGAUCUACGAAAUCACCAACAAGGAGGAGGUACCGACUGAAUCGCAAAACUUUUUAGUGCGGAAUUGACACCCGAUCUCGCGAAAGGUGUUUUGCGUUUUUUCUCUCUCUCUUUAAAAUGUUAUUCUACUUUUUUAAAUAAGUGUUUACAUUCUCUUUAAUUAAUUCUGAUUUGUUUUUGAACUUGGUAUAUAUUGAAACAAUUGAAAAUUGAAAAACUUCGGUAAUAUAAACUGUGACUUUUAAUAAUAAUAAUAAUAAAUUCGUCUUUAAAGAUAGAUGUUUCCUACACGCACUACCUAAGAAUUAUGGGAUAUGGGAUUUUGUGAAAUGAAGUGAACCGAUAUUCUUCUUGGAAGUUCAUUGAACUCAUGUUAAAGAGUUUAGAAGAUACGAAGCCGAUCAAUAAUUGUAAAAAAAAGAUGAUCAACUUGUGUAAUCUCGUUAACUGAUUCUACACUGUGAAAAAAUCUUGAAGAAUAUAAAUCCAAAGCUCAACGAAAUGUUGUCCCGCUUUAGUGCUUAUGAUCUUGACGUGUUUAGUAAUAUCUUAGAUAUUUGUUAUGAUGCGAAAUACCUAAAUACGCUUAUUGCUAUACAACGUCACGAACCUAAACACAAUAUAGGUAUAUGCAAUGCCUAAACACGUUUGGCUUUCGAACGUUUCACCAAAAGCUGGAAAAACUUGAGAGGAUCUUUUGUGUUUAAAUCCUCCACGCUGUUUUUUACAGUGCUUCUUUUAAAUACCAUCACAUCUCAAUCCUUAAUUAAAUAAAAAUUAACAAAUUAAGUCAUGUUCACUAAUAACGAUUAGUGUAUCCGUAUGGUAAUGUUUAAAACUGUUUAAAUUCAAACAUUCUAAAAGACGUAUGGUAUACACGCUUUUGAACCAGUGUUUAAUGUUUUAACAGUCUUUAAAAACUGCAUAAAAUAAUACAGUUUUUGGGCUUAUAUUUAUGUUCUAGACAUGCCCUGGAACCCCCCCCCCCAACUCUCUAUGCAUCGUUUACAUGAGGGUUACAUUCAAUUAGAUACUUGAGGCCUACUUCUACUCCACAAUAUUUUGAAUUAUUAUGUACACGUACACCUGGGCUAUAAAUCCAAUGCAUUAUGAGCAAUGGCUUAAAUGUCUCUUACGGCAGACGAUGCAAUUACCUUGUAUUUCAGCUUUUCAGUUGAAAAGUUGGAAAUCUAUAGCAGCGACGAUAGAAUUAUCGAUACAAGCAGUCCUCACGGUUUAGAGCGCCAAAGCAGCGGCUAGAAUCAAAAGUAGGCCUACUACAACUGCAGAUAUGCUCUGCAUUCUGCUACUGUUCGCUACUAAUAUAUUUUCAUUAGACCUAAGUGCUAUCAAUUUAUCAAGUAACUCAUAAAGUAAUAAUUCAAAAAUAAUUUCCUUGGUGAAAAUAUAAAUGAUUUCCCGAUCUCUCCGGUGCAUUAUUUAUUCAACCUUUAGGCCUGAGUUAAUAGGUUAGUUUUUGUUGUUUUUAAAUAUUGCCAUUCGCUCGAUCAAUUUAUGAUAUGUUCCAACAUUUGAUAAAUAAUGUAUCAUAAUAUUAUUUUAACAUUUAGCCUAUAUAACUUUCAUAGUUCACAUAGGGUUAUAAACGAUGUAAAUGUUUAUGUAUUAACAACACAGAUUUCAUAUAUGCGGUUUUGUAUAAUGCGCAUGCGUAACUAUAUCUGUUUUAAACAGUAACCUGUUACAUGAUACUCAUUCAUUUAUAUAAUCUCAUUAACUUAAAAUUGUAAAUUUUAUUAUAGUUGUAUAUUUUGUUAUGUUAUAUAUGAUAGUAUUUGUCCAUAAUUUAAGAUGUUUUAUUUGUAUUUUUCUUGGUGGAAAUUGUAUAGAUAAUAAUUACAUGUAAACUAUUGAUAAUGUGGGGCAAAACUUAUAAAGUGAUGCAAGCCAGCAUUACUCAAUAUCUAAAUAUUAUUUUUUAUCUGAUCUGUUACCAAUUAAGCUAACACAGGUCUCCCUGGUUUCCAUG